GCUAGUAAUCGCGGAUCAGCAUGCCGCGGUGAAUACGUUCCCGGGCCUUGUACACACCGCCCGUCACACCAUGAGAGUUGGCAACACCCGAAGUCAGUAGGCUAACGCAAGAGGCCGCUGCCGAAGGUGGGGUUGACGAUUGGGGUGAAGUCGUAACAAGGUAAC
rnacentral:rRNA from 1 species